rnacentral:rRNA from 1 species
CCUACGGGAGGCAGCAGUGAGGAAUAUUGGUCAAUGGGCGCGAGCCUGAACCAGCCAAGUAGCGUGAAGGAUGACUGCCCUACGGGGUGUAAACUUCUUUUAUAAAGGAAUAAAGUGAGGCACGUGUGCCGUUUUGUAUGUACUUUAUGAAUAAGGAUCGGCUAACUCCGUGCCAGCAGCCGCGGUAAUACGGAGGAUCCGAGCGUUAUCCGGAUUUAUUGGGUUUAAAGGGAGCGUAGAUGGGUUGUUAAGUCAGUUGGGCAAGUUUGCGGCUCAACCGUAAAAUUGCAAUUGAUACUGGCAGCCUUGAGUACAGUUGCGGUAGGCGGACUUCGUUGUGUAGCGG